rnacentral:tRNA from 1 species
CAGUAAAGCUCAGUGGCACAGCUUUUGUCUGGCAUACAGAAAGCCCUGGGUUCGAUCCCCAGCACUG